CUUCUUCGGCGUUGCUUCAAGGCUCCAUGUCUUUUUAUUAUUGUGAUGCUUAAGAGUGAUCAAGAUAUCCGAAAAACUUUUAGGUGAAGCACUAUGUUCUGCUUGUACCGGUGAGGACAUACGACUUCUGCUGAAAUAAUUAUUGUUCACUACACCGUAGGCAAUGUGGAGGUGACUUUUUUGGAGAUGUUUGAGUCUUAACUGUAAAUACCCUCCUCCUUUGGCACUCUGAUCUAUCUUGCACUCAUACCACUAAAGAACCAAGAUAGGAAAAUUAGGUGUGGCAUCGUAGCGGGGGCGAUCAUAUGCUGCUUCAGAGUUCCAGAUUUACAUGUAAGUUAAUAUGCCACUUCUUGUUAAGUUGUUUGAGGCAACUUCACAUGAGUUUAGUUGAUCUUAGCAGUUAUUUAUAUCAAUUUACAUUUGAUGCUUCAUCGUAGUGCGGUUGUUUCGAAUUAUGAAAUGAAAAUCGUUCUUCACUUUGAUGUUAAUUAAAAUUUUACAGUAAAAAUUGAUCGGUAAUACUUUUCAAGAAUGGAGCAAGGAUUGCAACCACCAUAUGACCUCUACAAUCAGAAAAUUUUGCACAACUAAGUAAUACUCUACGUUGCAUUGAACAUGAAAAAAUUAUCAAUUUAUCUUAAGUAUUGUACGAAAGUUUUGAUUCCCCUGUUUUUGGGAGAAAUAUUGGAGCACCAUCAUAUAUGGCACCAACAUUAAGUUUACGAAAGUCUGGUAUUGAAGUACCAUCGAAGUAUAUGCAAGA